rnacentral:siRNA from 1 species
UCGAUUGCGUAAGUUGUAGCUUG